AAAGAGAUGCUACAAUUAUUGUUGGAAAAGUUGAGAUGGUGUCUACCGGACCCAAAGGACGUGAUGCUUAUGGUAUAAAAGCUAUGAAAUCAAACUCUAAGGGAAAGGAGCAUUUACGUGUCUGUUACAGAUGCGUUGCAACUGAUGCUGGCAUUCGGCUCUUUUGUCGUUAUGUUGAUCGCAUUAG
rnacentral:sRNA from 1 species